AUUGAACGCUGGCGGCAGGCCUAACACAUGCAAGUCGAACGAGUGGCGGACGGGUGAGUAAUGUCUGGGAAACUGCCCGAUGGAGGGGGAUAACUACUGGAAACGGUAGCUAAUACCGCAUACCAUCAGAUGUUCCCAGAUGGGAUUAGCUAGUAGGUGGGGUAAUGGCUCACCGAGGCGACGAUCCCGAGCUGGUCUGAGAGGAUGACCAGCGACACUGGAACUGAGACACGGUGCAGACUCCUACGGGAGGCAGCAGGGGGGAAGAGUGCACAAUGGACGCAAGCCUGAUGCAGCCAUGCGGCGUGUGUGAAGAAGGCCUUCGGGUUGUAAAGCACUUUCAGCGGGGAGGCGUUACUCGCAGAAGAAGCACCGGCUAACUCCGUGCCAGCAGCCGCGGUAAUAC
rnacentral:rRNA from 1 species